AGUGAACGCUGGCGGUAGGCCUAACACAUGCAAGUCGAACGGCGGCACAGUAAGAGCUUGCUCUUACGGGUGGCGAGUGGCGGACGGGUGAGGAAUACAUCGGAAUCUACUUUUUCGUGGGGGAUAACGUAGGGAAACUUAUGCUAAUACCGCAUACGACCUACGGGUGAAAGCAGGGGAUCUUCGGACCUUGCGCGAUUGAAUGAGCCGAUGUCGGAUUAGCUAGUUGGCGGGGUAAAGGCCCACCAAGGCGACGAUCCGUAGCUGGUCUGAGAGGAUGAUCAGCCACACUGGAACUGAGACACGGUCCAGACUCCUACGGGAGGCAGCAGUGGGGAAUAUUGGACAAUGGGCGCAAGCCUGAUCCAGCCAUACCGCGUGGGUGAAGAAGGCCUUCGGGUUGUAAAGCCCUUUUGUUGGGAAAGAAAAGCAGCAGGUUAAUACCCCGCUGUUCUGACGGUACCCAAAGAAUAAGCACCGGCUAACUUCGUG
rnacentral:rRNA from 1 species